AAGACCCUAUGGAGCUUAAAUUUAAAAUCUAAGUUACUCAAAACUUAUCCUAAAAUCAAGGGAAAUAAUACUCAAACUAUCAGAUUAACAACUGUGGUUGGGGUGACCUCAGAAUAUAAUAUAAUCUCCAAAAUGUUAUCUACUUAGACCUAACCAGUCACAGUAAAUCUAUAACCAUACCUCACUGACCCCAAAUAUUUGAUCAAUAGAUCAAGUUACCCUAGGGAUAACAGCACAAUCCUGCUUUAGAGUUCAUAUCAACAACAUGGUUUACAACCUCGAUGUUAGAUCAGGACAUCCCAAUGGUGCAACCACUAUUAAUGGUUUGUUUGUUCAAUGAUUAAAGUCUAUGUUAUCUGAGCUCACACCAGAGAAAUCAAGGUCUGAG
rnacentral:ncRNA from 1 species